CUGAAAUAGCCCGAAGUGAGAACAGAGUUUUAAGGUCACUGUAAAGCUGCAAAGCUAGGGCAGAAAGCGAAAUGAGGGAUUUCAAAUUUGAUAAUUCCUCUGAAAGCAUUAAAAAAAAAAAAAAAGGAGGUAGUUUCAUGUAUCUAAUUAAACUGAAAUGUUGGUAGGUAGAGGGCGUGUUUUCUGUAGCCGGGUGAGCAGGACCCUUCACUGCAAGCACGAUCUUUAGAGAGUUGUUUCAGACACAGGGCAUUCGAUCUGACCUGAUCCUUUUAUUCUUCUGUGCUAAGCCAGCACAGCACAGAUCCAAAAAGGGACAGCGAACACUUCAGGGCCACCCAGGGUCCUGGUGCACCCCGGCCCUCUGGCAUCUGUGGUGACCUGGAAAGGAGCUGUGGGAACAAGAGAAGAGCAGCACUGCAUCCCGGGAGAGCAGGCUGGUGGGAAAUGGUGAUAACCUGGGAAUUGCCUUCCAGUAAAGCUUCACUUGGCUGGGUGCUCCCAUGACCCAUUCUUGGUAAAAUGAUCUGAACAGCAACAGCUGAUAAGACAGCAGUGCAAGUUCAAGCAUGCAAACCUGUCUGAGAUUGACUGUGCCACAGCUGGUCCUGUUAAAGGGGAUGACAAACUACUAGGGAGUUACCAGGUGAGUUCUGAAAUAAGGGAAGGUCCAGUUUGGAAAGAAACAUAUGGGACAAAUGAAAUUGUAACAGGAAGGAAAACAGUGGGAAUGGAGCAAGCAGUCAAAAACAGAUGAGGGUAAGUUUAGUCAAUGACUUAAGAAGAUCACAAACCCAGGACUGGAAAGGACCGAGUCUGGUCUCUUGCUUUGUGAUUGAAGAUGGUUUCUCUGUACAGGCCUGUGUUAUGCCUAUACAAAUAUUGCUUCAGAGCUUCACCAGCUGAGGUGAGUUUUCUAAUUUACACCUUAAAUUUAUUCACAGACAUUUUAUAUCUACCUAGUUUUGCA
rnacentral:lncRNA from 1 species